rnacentral:rRNA from 1 species
GGACGAACGCUGGCGGCGUGCCUAAUACAUGCAAGUCGAACGGUCUUUCUAUGGAAGCUUGCUUCCACUGAGAAGAUAGUGGCGAACGGGUGAGUAACACGUGGGGUAACCUGCCCAUAAGAGGGGGGAUAACAUCCGGAAACGGGUGCUAAUACCGCAUAGUUUUCUUGAUCGCAUGAUUGAGAAAGGAAAGACGGCCUUUGUGCUGUCGCUUAUGGAUGGACCCGCGGCGUAUUAGUUAGUUGGUGAGGUAACGGCUCACCAAGACGAUGAUACGUAGCCGACCUGAGAGGGUGAUCGGCCACAUUGGGACUGAGACACGGCCCAAACUCCUACGGGAGGCAGCAGUAGGGAAUCUUCCGCAAUGGACGAAAGUCUGACGGAGCAACGCCGCGUGAGUGAAAGAAGGUUUUCGGAUCGUAAAACUCUGUUGUCAGAGAAGAACAAGUUGGAGAGUAACUGCUCCAGCCUUGACGGUAUCUGACCAGAAAGCCACGGCUAACUACGUGCCAGCCGCCGC